GAUCGCAAGACCUUGCGCUUUUGGAGCGGCCGAUGUCUGAUUAGCUAGUUGGUGAGGUAAAGGCUUACCAAGGCGUCGAUCAGUAGCUGGUCUGAGAGGACGACCAGCCACACUGGGACUGAGACACGGCCCAGACUCCUACGGGAGGCAGCAGUGGGGAAUUUUGGACAAUGGGGGAAACCCUGAUCCAGCCAUGCCGCGUGAGUGAAGAAGGCCUUCGGGUUGUAAAGCUCUUUCAGCCGGAACGAAACGGUCACGGUUAAUACCCGUGACUACUGACGGUACCGGAAGAAGAAGCACCGGCUAACUACGUGCCAGCAGCCGCGGUAAUACGUAGGGUGCGAGCGUUAAUCGGAAUUACUGGGCGUAAAGCGUGCGCAGGCGGUUUUGAAGUCAGAUUAAA
rnacentral:rRNA from 1 species